AUUGAACGCUGGCGGCAGGCCUAACACAUGCAAGUCGAACGAGUGGCGGACGGGUGAGUAAUGUCUGGGAAACUGCCCGAUGGAGGGGGAUAACUACUGGAAACGGUAGCUAAUACCGCAUAUCAUCGGAUGUGCACAGAUGGGAUUAGCUAGUAGGUGGGGUAACGGCUCACCUAGGCGACGAUCCCUAGCGGGGCUGAGAGGAUGACCAGCCACACUGGAACUGAGACACGGUCCAGACUCCUACGGGAGGCAGCAGUAGGGAAUAUUGCACAAUGGGCGAAAGCCUGAUGCAGCCAUGCCGCGUGUGUGAAGAAGGUCUUCGGGUUGUAAAGUACUUUCAGCGGGGAGGCGUUACUCGCAGAGGAAGCCCCGGCUAACUCCGUGCCAGCAGCCGCGGUAAUUC
rnacentral:rRNA from 1 species